ensembl:misc_RNA 7SK 7SK RNA
GGAUGUGAGGGUGAUCUGGCUGCUUUAUCUGUCACCCCAAGCAAGGGUUGAUUCAGCUGAUCUGGCUGGCUAGGCGGGUGUCUCCUUCCUCCCUCACCACUCCAUGUGCAUCCCUUCUGAAGCUGUGCACUGGAAGAAUAUAACCACUCCUGAUAGAGAAGGACCAUUUCCUUCAUCAAGGGUACAUGAGUAGCUGCGCCACCCUGCUAGAAUCUCCAAACAAGCUCCCAAAAUUAGGGACCUGUGCUCUCAUGAAUAAUUACUAGUUCUAAUCACAGAAAUAUAGACAAAAGGGCAGACGGCCAGUUUUGCUGUAU